rnacentral:rRNA from 1 species
UCGAUUCCCUUAGUAGCGGCGAGCGAAACGGGAAGAGCCCAAACCAACAAGCUUGCUUGUUGGGGUUGUAGGACACUCUAUACGGAGUUACAAAGGACGACAUUAGACGAAUCAUCUGGAAAGAUGAAUCAAAGAAGGUAAUAAUCCUGUAGUCGAAAAUGUUGUCUCUCUUGAGUGGAUCCUGAGUACGACGGAGCACGUGAAAUUCCGUCGGAAUCUGGGAGGACCAUCUCCUAAGGCUAAAUACUCUCUAGUGACCGAUAGUGAACCAGUACCGUGAGGGAAAGGUGAAAAGCACCCCGGAAGGGGAGUGAAAUAGAACCUGAAACCGUGUGCUUACAAGUAGUCAGAGCCCGUUAAUGGGUGAUGGCGUGCCUUUUGUAGAAUGAACCGGCGAGUUACGAUUUGAUGCAAGGUUAAGCAGUAAAUGUGGAGCCGUAGCGAAAGCGAGUCUGAAUAGGGCGUUUAGUAUUUGGUCGUAGACCCGAAACCAGGUGAUCUACCCUUGGUCAGGUUGAAGUUCAGGUAACACUGAAUGGAGGACCGAACCGACUUACGUUGAAAAGUGAGCGGAUGAACUGAGGGUAGCGGAGAAAUUCCAAUCGAACCUGGAGAUAGCUGGUUCUCUCCGAAAUAGCUUUAGGGCUAGCCUCAAGUGAUGAUUAUUGGAGGUAGAGCACUGUUUGGACGAGGGGCCCCUCUCGGGUUACCGAAUUCAGACAAACUCCGAAUGCCAAUUAAUUUAACUUGGGAGUCAGAACAUGGGUGAUAAGGUCCGUGUUCGAAAGGGAAACAGCCCAGACCACCAGCUAAGGUCCCAAAAUAUAUGUUAAGUGGAAAAGGAUGUGGCGUUGCCCAGACAACUAGGAUGUUGGCUUAGAAGCAGCCAUCAUUUAAAGAGUGCGUAAUAGCUCACUAGUCGAGUGACACUGCGCCGAAAAUGUACCGGGGCUAAACAUAUUACCGAAGCUGUGGAUUGUCCUUUGGACAAUGGUAGGAGAGCGUUCUAAGGGCGUUGAAGCAUGAUCGUAAGGACAUGUGGAGCGCUUAGAAGUGAGAAUGCCG